rnacentral:rRNA from 1 species
UACGUAGGGGGGCAAGCGUUGUCCGGAAUCAUUGGGCGUAAAGCGCGUGUAGGCGGCUUGGUAAGUCUGCUCUGAAAGCCCGGGGGCUCAACCCCCGGGAGGCGGGUGGAUACUGUCAAGCUCGAGUCCGGAAGAGGAGUGUGGAAUUCCUGGUGUAGCGGUGAAAUGCGCAGAUAUCAGGAGGAACACCAAUGGCGAAGGCAGCACUCUGGGACGUGACUGACGCUGAGACGCGAAAAGCGUGGGGGAGCAAAACAGG